rnacentral:rRNA from 1 species
AGGACUUCCUUCGGGGCAUCCGAGACAGGUGGUGCAUGGUUGUCGUCAGCUCGUGUCGUGAGAUGUUGGGUUAAGUCCCGCAACGAGCGCAACCCCUAUUGUUAGUUGCCAUCAUUAAGUUGGGCACUCUAGCGAGACUGCCGGUAAUAAACCGGAGGAAGGUGGGGAUGACGUCAAAUCAUCAUGCCCCUUAUGACCUGGGCUACACACGUGCUACAAUGGUUGGUACAACGAGUCGCGAGUCGGUGACGGCAAGCAAAUCUCUUAAAGCCAAUCUCAGUUCGGAUUGUAGACUGCAACUCGCCUACAUGAAGUCGGAAUCGCUAGUAAUCGCGGAUCAGCACGCCGCGGUGAAUACGUUCCCGGGUCUUGUACACACCGAAGU